UACGUAGGGGGCAAGCGUUAUCCGGAAUUACUGGGUGUAAAGGGUGAGUAAGUGGCAUGGUAAGCCAGAUGUGAAAGCCUUGGGCUUAACCCGAGGAUUGCAUUUGGAACUAUCAAGCUAGAGUACAGGAGAGGAAAGCGGAAUUCCUAGUGUAGCGGUGAAAUGCGUAGAUAUUAGGAAGAACACCAGUGGCGAAGGCGGCUUUCUGGACUGAAACUGACGCUGAGGCACGAAAGCGUGGGGAGCGAACAGG
rnacentral:rRNA from 1 species